CGUUUCCCACUCACGUAUAUGUGAGGGACCCGAAUCUCAAGUCUGCAAAAACAAAGGGGACUGUACUCACAACAGCCAAUGCAGCUUGGGAGGUUAAACCACACAUUUGCUUCCAGCAAUUUGAAUGGAAGAAGCUCCACCCAGCUUAUAAUACCAGCCUGAUCAGCUGCACCCAUCUUGCAGACCAGCAUAGCUUCUCACUUUGCCUGUGGGGAAGGGUUUCUGCCAAAUGCCAAAGCCUCCUUCUUCCCAGAGGAUUUGGAGCUCUUUCUUCUGAAGAACCCAAUUGGCUGUCAGGCGUCUGUUCCAGCUGUGGUUUUUACUCCUAUAUUACAAUAAAAUGGGGGAAUCUGCUUCUGUACAGGCCUUUCACUGUUACCGUGAUGACCAUUAGUGCUGUGGCAAAUGUUAAGACAGACAGGUUGUUAUAAGACAAGCAGCAGCAAGUAAGUCUUCAGGUUGUACAUGGGCAAUCCAGGAAGUUCCUGAAAGAUGAAGGAAGGUUUACAUUUGUAUUCUAAGCCCAUUGUAAGCUGAGUAUGCUGUGAAACUGUUCCAUCAGACCAAGGGUAAAUGAGCCUUAGAAGAAAUCUCUUUCUCUCUCUCAUAUCACAGACAGAAGUUUAUUAUCAAGAUGGCUUCAUGCAAAUGAGAUUCCAGUUGUUGCUAAAGGUGCAUUUAAUAUUAUUGCUGUGUCAAUAAUAACAUUCCAUGGCUAGAACUGAAUGCUUUAUGUAGUUUGGGGGGUGGGAAGUGAAACUUUACUGUCAUUUGCAAGAUGCAGUGCUGAAUAAAUGGAGGUGAACAGGAUUUUGUUUUGUUUUGCCUCAGUAUCAUAAAAUAUGAAAAUAAUGGAACAGUAAAAGAUUGUCUUCUUAAGUCAAGGAAGGAACAAGAUUUUCACUGUAGACCUCCUUUGAUCAUAUUGCUGCCUUUGGGUACUGUAUCUGCUUAUAGUUACUAUUACCAUCAUUAUUAACUAUUUUGAUUACAGUACAGCCCCCAGUGGUUUUUUUCCCCUGGCAAGGUAGAACAAUAAACAGUUUCUCUCUCUUACAGUAUGCAAUCUGAAUAAUUAAAAAUUAAUUCAUUUCUGCCACUAGGCAGAAAAUGCAGGUACAAAAAGAUUGUGUUGUCUUCUGACAGCCUCAUUACACAUUACAUACAAAGGCCUCUGGCUUGAACAUUAAGGGGGAAAAUCUUAUACUUUCUGUUGUUUCAGGAAAGGUUGCUUUGUGAAGGACAGCUUGGUAAAAUUGAGAUGUGAAAAGGAUGAAGCCACUUCACCCAUUUCCAAUUCACCUGUUGUUCUCCCCUCCUAAAGCAAUAUUUUUCUAAAAAUAAAAAGAAUGUUGGGCUUUAGUUACUUAUGUUGGAAAGUAAGCUGUAGUUCAAUCCUGAACUGAGACUGAGAGGAGCAUAAAGACUGACUUGUGUAAAACAGUUUGCUGCCUCAGGCAAAGAAAAUAACGGUGUCCAUCUUCUGUUCCAUGUACAAGAUCUUACUGGACUUGGCAGCUGAACUUCAUUCCAACACUGUUAAUAGGACACAGUUAUCCUCCACUACAAGUGAGGUGAGCGGUUCAGUUUAGGGCAAGAAUGGGAAUGAUGCAGCUCAUGGGCUCCAUAUGACUUCAGGGGGAUUUCCCCCCUUCCAAUUUUCCCAACAAACAAACAAACAAACAAACAAAAACAAUUGAAGAUCAAAAAAGUCACUGAAAACAACUGUAAAAUACUUUUAAAUGUUUUAUGAAUCCCUUACUCUGAAACAUCAAGCGUGCACCUCAAGAAGACAGCCCAUAAAAUGUCUGGGACUGAUACUUCAGGUUGCCCAAUAUUAUAAAAGGCAAAGAUGCCUAGGAGCUGGAAAUUGGGCGGUGUACCUCUCUGGAUUUUGGUGCAUGCGUAUUCUGGUUUAGGAAAUGGAGGAGGAACUUGUGUAUACACUAGAGAUGUUGGCAAAUUCCAUAGAAUAGCUUUUCCCCAAUACACCAGUAGAUAUCCUAAGAUUAGUAGUAUUUUGCUUAAUAUGUCUGUAGAUUUUAUAUUUUAUCCUCCUGCUCUUGGUGCUUUGUUUACCCUCCUGCUCUGAAUACCAUGUAAAGAGAAAGCAUUUUUAUUACAAAAUAAUAUACUUAUGGCUAUUAUUUUAUCACAAAUCACAUAUACAUCUUGUCCUACUGUGGGAUGGAGCUGUGGGUGGGAAGGAAAGAAGGAAGCAAUGUGCAUCUAAAUGAACUCACCCCCUCAUCUCCAUGCAGAGUAACAGGUACUUUAUUUUCCAUUAAGGAUACAACAUAUUCCAUCCCAUUUGGGUUCUAUUUUGUUCCCUCUUCCCCACUGACUUUUAAUAAAAUAUGUGUUUAUUUUCUCA